AACGAACGCUGGCGGCAUGCCUAACACAUGCAAGUCGAACGAGACCUUCGGGCCUAGUGGCGCACGGGUGCGUAACACGUGGGAAUCUGCCCUUCGGUUCGGAAUAACAGAGAGAAAUUUCUGCUAAUACCGGAUGAUGACGUAAGUCCAAAGAUUUAUCGCCGAAGGAUGAGCCCGCGUAGGAUUAGUUAGUUGGUGGGGUAAUGGCCCACCAAGCCGACGAUCCUUAGCUGGUCUGAGAGGAUGAUCAGCCACACUGGGACUGAGACACGGCCCAGACUCCUACGGGAGGCAGCAGUGGGGAAUAUUGGACAAUGGGCGAAAGCCUGAUCCAGCAAUGCCGCGUGAGUGAUGAAGGCCUUAGGGUUGUAAAGCUCUUUUACCAGGGAUGAUAAUGACAGUACCUGGAGAAUAAGCUCCGGCUAACUCCGUGCCAGCCGCCGCGGUAA
rnacentral:rRNA from 1 species